rnacentral:tRNA from 1 species
GCCGCCAUCGUCUAGUGGCCUAAGAUACCAGGUUCUCAUCCUGGAGAUCGUGGGUUCGAAUCCCACUGGCGGUGCCA